UACGAAGGGGGCUAGCGUUGCUCGGAAUCACUGGGCGUAAAGGGUGCGUAGGCGGGUCUUUAAGUCAGGGGUGAAAUCCUGGAGCUCAACUCCAGAACUGCCUUUGAUACUGAAGAUCUUGAGUUCGGGAGAGGUGAGUGGAACUGCGAGUGUAGAGGUGAAAUUCGUAGAUAUUCGCAAGAACACCAGUGGCGAAGGCGGCUCACUGGCCCGAUACUGACGCUGAGGUGCGAAAGCGUGGGAGCA
rnacentral:rRNA from 1 species